rnacentral:rRNA from 1 species
GUGGGGAAUAUUGGACAAUGGGCGCAAGCCUGAUCCAGCCAUGCCGCGUGAGUGAUGAAGGCCCUAGGGUUGUAAAGCUCUUUCACCGGUGAAGAUAAUGACGGUAACCGGAGAAGAAGCCCCGGCUAACUUCGUGCCAGCAGCCGCGGUAAUACGAAGGGGGCUAGCGUUGUUCGGAAUUACUGGGCGUAAAGCGCACGUAGGCGGACAUUUAAGUCAGGGGUGAAAUCCCAGAGCUCAACUCUGGAACUGCCUUUGAUACUGGGUGUCUUGAGUAUGGAAGAGGUAAGUGGAAUUCCGAGUGUAGAGGUGAAAUUCGUAGAUAUUCGGAGGAACACCAGUGGCGAAGGCGGCUUACUGGUCCAUUACUGACGCUGAGGUGCGAAAGCGUGGGGAGCAAACAGGAUUAGAUACCCCUGUAGUCC